rnacentral:rRNA from 1 species
GAAUUUUGGACAAUGGGGGCAACCCUGAUCCNGCCAUCCCGCGUGUGCGAUGAAGGCCUUCGGGUUGUAAAGCACUUUUGGCAGGGAAGAAACAGCCUGGGCUAAUAUCCCGGGCGACUGACGGUACCUGCAGAAUAAGCACCGUCUAACUACGUGCCAGCAGCCGCGGUAAUACGGAGGUGGCGAGCGUUGUCCGGAAUUACUGGGUGUAAAGGGUGCGCAGGCGGGCCGACAAGUUGGAUGUGAAAUCUCCGGGCUCAACGAGGCAGGGGCAUUCAAAACUGUUGGUCUUGAGUGAGGUAGGGGUAGGAGGAAUUCCCGGUGUAGCGGUGAAAUGCGUAGAGAUCGGGAGGAACACCAGUGGCGAAGGCGGCCUACUGUGCCUUUACUGACGCUGAGGCACGAAAGCAUGGGUAGCAAACA